GCUCCCUCCUUGCUUUGACCAAAGGACAAGGAAAAGCUACCCUGGUGUCCAAGUAGAGAUAGGGAAGGAUAUUCAAUUGCCUAUUUACUGGCCGGAAGAAUAUCCUUUUCUUUUUUUGGGUCAGUAAUUACACUUUAACCGAUGCACAACCUGUGUCGACUUUUUACUGUUGAUUUAGUACUAGUUUCUCCUUGGGUCGAGCACACAACAACAGUUUCUUAAUCCACCACUUGCCCGAAGGGACUCUCUUUAG
rnacentral:lncRNA from 1 species